AUGCAUACGAAUUGAUUAUCUUCAGUAUGGGUAAAUCUAUAAAGUCUUCUUUGUUUAAAGCUAGUGAUAAAGAAACGAGUAUUCUGUUUUCUUCAAUAACGGCUUUCAUAAUUAUUCAAACAUCCUUCGCAGCCGUCGUCUAACUGUUUUCAUCUUCAAUUCACACUCAGCUUAUUGUUUCUGACGUGAAGAAGAAACUUCAUAAGUUCUUCAAGAGCUGCAGACUUACAUUUCAAGAAACAAUGAAUUUGUUAAGUAACGUUCUCGUGCUUACAUUUGGUGUCAUCCUUCUCAUAGUACAAGGAUCGUACAGCAAAGACUCGACGACGAUGAUGGCUGACGAUUUGACUACAGCAAACUAUAGCACGAUGGGAACGGAAGAUCCAAUAUCCGGCGGGUCUCUUGUCACGUACGGCCUGUGUGUCAUAACAGCUUCGUUGGUGUCUGCAUUCCAGUUCUAGAAAAUGACGCGUUUCAUUAUUAUAUUUAAAAUGUGUUUAUUGUUAUUAUUGAAAGUUUAAUCACAUAAAUAAUUAUAUUCACUGUGGUGGUAAAUAGUAUAAACUGAUGGACACUAUGCUGUCGAGUGACGAUUACACUUUCAACCACAAAUGCAUCGAUGGACACAAGCACGAAUUUUAACGCGUUAAAUGGUACUUCAAAGUAGCUACUUCAGCUUCUUUAAUUGCAUAAGCAAAAUACACUUCUUUUCUGACAAUUGUUAAGGCUUUUAGAAUGGUAUAAAUCAUACCAAAGACACUACCAUAAGACACAAAUGUGAUCCGUAUUAUUCAAUAAUAAAUAAUAAAAACAUGCAUAAAACGCGAGUAGCACUUUGUUUUGACUAACAAUUUUUUUAACUCUACCUUUUGCUAGCUCAAGUUUGCUUUUUCCAAAUAGUGUAUUAAUAUUCUUAAAUAUUAUGUUGUCAUUGUUAAUGAUAUUUUUUUUCACUUGUUGUGAUGUAGAAAUAAAAUGUUAUUAUACAUACAACUUUUAAUUUUCAGAAUCAUACGGCAACGAUCAAUCGAUGUCAACUACGGCUGGCGAUUCGAUUUCGAUAUGUUUAAAAAUGUGUUCAUAAUUGUUAUUGUUGAAAGUUUUUAAAUUAAUAAACAUUGUUAGCCAAAACGAGGUGCUGUCCGUUUAUAUGUUAAGUAAAUCAAGUAUUUACUAUUAUCACUACGAGAGUCAAAUUUAUAAUAGGCCUAUUUGAUUAAUUAAAAUUUAGAUUAAUCCAAACCCAUCAUUAGUAGCUGCGGAAUAAACAAUUUUCCAUUAUUUUGGUUUUAACUUGAUGUUGAAUUUAUAACACGAUGCUGCAUGCAUAUUAGUUUGCCAUUGUACGUGUUCUUUUUCCUGUGAAGCUUCUCGUGAAUAAAAUAUGUCAUAAGUCUU